rnacentral:tRNA from 1 species
GCAUUGGUGGUUCAGUGGUAGAACUCUUGACUUCUACAUGGAAUACCUGGGUUUGACUCCUGGCCAAUGUA